UCUAAUAUGGCAGAGAAUGUAUAGGAUUUAGGUUCCUACUACGAAGAUAAUAUCUUCUUUUAGAA
rnacentral:tRNA from 1 species